rnacentral:tRNA from 1 species
AAAAAGAUAAGCUAAUAAAGCUACAGGGUUCAUACCCCUCUCAUGAAAGUUUUAACCUUUCUCUUUUUA